rnacentral:rRNA from 1 species
UGUGAAUCAUCGAAUCUUUAGAACGCACAUUGCGCCCUAUGGUAUUCCAUAGGGCAUGCCUGUUUGAGCGUCAUUUCUCUCUCAAAUCUUCGGAUUUGGUUUUGAGUGAUACUCUUAGUCAGACUAAGCGUUUGCUUGAAAUGUAUUGGCAUGAGUGGUACUAGAUAGUGCUGAACUGUUUCAAUGUAUUAGGUUUAUCCAACUCGUUGACCAGUAUAGUAUUUGUUUAUUACACAGGCUCGGCCUUACAACAACAAACAAAGUUUGACCUCAAAUCAGGUAGGACUACCCGCUGAACUUAAGCUUAUCAAUAAGCGGAGGAAUCUG